rnacentral:lncRNA from 1 species
CUGGCAGUUGGGUACGGGACCCAAGACGGGAAAGACUAUUGGAUAGUGAAGAACUCAUGGGGAGCAGAGUGGGGUGAAUCAGGUUACUUGAAAAUGGAAAGAAACAUUGCGGAUAAAACAGGGCUUUGUGGUAUAGCAAUGGAGCCAUCUUACCCCAUCAAAACUGGCCAAAACCCACCGAACCCUGGCCCAUCUCCACCAUCACCGGUCACACCUGAAACAGUUUGUGAUGAGUACAGCACCUGCCCGGAAGGAACUACCUGUUGCUGUAUCUAUGAGUAUUAUGGUUAUUGCUUUGCUUGGGGCUGCUGCCCGUUGGAGGGAGCUACUUGCUGUGAGGAUCAUUACAGUUGCUGCCCACAUGAUUACCCCAUUUGCGAUGUGUGCAGGGGUACUUGCUCAAAGGUUAGUUUGUUACCUUAAGCUAAGCUCUUGUUUAUUAUGUAGGAUAGGACAGACUCUGUCCUAUCCUAUAUAAUAGAUUAACAAACUUUUUGUACCAUUCAAAAAGUUUGUUACCUUAAGCUCAUGUUUGUUACAUAGGAUAUGACAUACUAGCAUUGUACUGGUUUGCAAUGCUAGACUGUUCUGUCAUACCCUAUGUAACAAAAUAACAAACUUUUUGUACCAUGCAAAAAAUUUGUUACCUUAAGCUCAUGUUUGUUACAUAGGAUAGGACAUCCUAGCAUUGUAUCGGUUUGCAAUGCUAGACUAUUCUGUCAUAUCCUAUGUAACAAAAUAACAAACUUUUUGUACCAUACAAAAAGUUUGUUAUAUUAAGAACACAGUGCCAUGUUUGGGUUUUACAAAUAAGUAAAUUUGAUUGGGACAAGAAUUACAAUAUGUAAAAGACAAUUUGUAAUUUUUCUCAUUCAAAAAGGUUGAAGGAGUUUGUGAAAAAAGACGUGAAUACCCUUUCAUUUGGAUGUUUGUGUUGUUUUGUAU